rnacentral:rRNA from 1 species
CAUGACGUACUCAGCAGAGAAGCACGGCUUAACUCUUGCAAGCAGCGCGGUAAUCGGAGUGUGCAAGCUUAAUCGAAUUUACUGGCGUAAGCGCACGCAGGCGUCUGUCAAUGUCGGAUGUGAAAUCCCCGGGUCUCACCCUGGGAGCUGCAUUCGAACUGGCAGGCUAGAGUCUGUAGAGGAGGGUAGAUUUCCAGGUGUAGCGGUGAAAUGCGUAGAGAUCUGGAGGAAUACCGGUGGCGAAGGCGGCCCCCUGGACAAAGACUGACGCUCAGGUGCGAAAGCGUGGGGAGCAAACAGGAUUAGAUACCCUGGUAGUCCACGCCGUAAACGAUGUCGACUUGGAGGUUGUGCCCUUGAGGCGUGGCUUCCGGAGCUAACGCGUUAAGUCGUCCGCCUGGGGAGUACGGCCGCAAGGUUAAAACUCAAAUGAAUUGACGGGGGCCCGCACAAGCGGUGGAGCAUGUGGUUUAAUUCGAUGCAACGCGAAGAACCUUACCUACUCUUGACAUCCAGAGAACUUUCCAGAGAUGGAUUGGUGCCUUCGGGAACUGUGAGACAGGUGGUGCAUGGCUGUCGUCAGCUCGUGUUGUGAAAUGUUGGGUUAAGUCCCGCAACGAGCGCAACCCUUAUUCUUUGUUGCCAGCGGUUCGUCCGGGAAUUCAAAGGAGACUGCCAGUGAUAAACGGGAGGAAGGUGGGGAGGAGGUCAAGUCAUCAUGGCCCUUUCGAGUAGGGCUCCCCCCGUGUUCCAAUGGCGCAUCCAAAGAGAAGGGACCUCGGGAGAGCAAGCGGACCUCAUAAAGUGCGUCGUAGUCCGGAUUGGAUUUUGCAACUGGACUCCAUGAAGUCGGAAUCGCUAGUUAUCGUAGAUCAGAAUGCUACGGUGAAUACGUUCCCGGGCCUUGUACACACCGCCCGUCACCCCAAGAAGUGUGUCCAAAGGAAGUAGGUAGCUUACCCUUCGGGAGCACGC